AACAGUCCUGUUCCUGUUUUCUUUGACAAGGACAAAGUACGGGUUGAUGUUCCGUUGACACAGUAGUCAAUUCGCAGUAUCUGUACUGCAGGCAUACAAAUUCGAUGUCAAAGCCCCAUGCUCUGUGGUUACAUUGCCUUUGUUAGUACAUCUACCACUGUUCAUUUUACUAACUGCUAGUAAAAACAUCUAAUGGUAUCAGAUUGUCAGUUUUGGAAGAAUGAUUACACAGAAUUAAGUUUGGUGUUUUGUUUGGUUUAUAGCCUUAGUUAAAAUAUUUCUGUAAGCCAAAUACGAGCGUUGCAAAAUUUGUGACGAAGUUAGGUUUGUUGCCAAUUUUUCUUGGUAAAAUUGCUUUGAGCAUUGUUUAAUUUGAGAUCAAUUAGAGACUAAACAAUGUACACUACCAUUUCAUUUUCUGUUGGCAACAAACCAAAUGUGUUUGCCAAAUUGCCAGUGGCGGGCCCAGCUUUUUAAACUUGGGUAUUCGAAAUGGGAAGGGGUAAAAAAAUGUCCAUACACCAAAAAGCCAAAAAAUAGGCUUGUAUAUUAUGAUACACUAAUAAUUAUAAUUUAGAGCGUAUAGAAUAAAAUUGAUCAUUAGUUCACACAGUGAUAGAAUUGAUCAUCACUAGAAAUUGUUUAACUUAUAGAAAUACUAAUACCAAACAUAUCAAAGUGUCAAAAUAUGGAAUACAAAAAUGAUAGAGAAUAAUAAGUUAGGAAGAAAACUUACAAUUUAGAUAUUAACUUUUCGACGCUUGAUAUUUUGGAAAUAAUUGAUGAUGUCCUUGUCCUUAGCUUGCAAAAAGAAUUCUCUUUCAAUGAAUGUAACCAAACAAUCAUUCAAAUACUACAAAUUUGCUAAUAUGGUAUGAACUAUGAACUACUGUCCAGUGUCCAAUAUACUCAAUUACUCAAAUACUCAAAUAGGCAACUAGUCAACUACAAUCCUACAAACUAAAUGUCUAAAUCAAGCAAGCAAGCAACUACACUAAAAUACUAAAUGUCUAAAUCAAUGAAUUUUUGUGCUUGUCCCGUUGUCCGGAGUUUAGUCACUCACUGUGCUAAUGUGCUUAUCCGGAAUUUGCAGGUCAGGCAGUCGCCGGCGAGCAGGAUGCCGCACGGCCGCAGCGGCAGCGCGCAGCCGCCGGCUGCCUC
rnacentral:lncRNA from 1 species